AUUGAACGCUGGCGGCAUGCCUUACACAUGCAAGUCGAACGGCAGCACGGGAGCAAUCCUGGUGGCGAGUGGCGAACGGGUGAGUAAUACAUCGGAACGUGCCCUGUAGUGGGGGAUAACUAGUCGAAAGACUAGCUAAUACCGCAUACGACCUGAGGGUGAAAGUGGGGGACCGCAAGGCCUCAUGCUAUAGGAGCGGCCGAUGUCUGAUUAGCUAGUUGGUGGGGUAAAGGCCUACCAAGGCGACGAUCAGUAGCUGGUCUGAGAGGACGAUCAGCCACACUGGGACUGAGACACGGCCCAGACUCCUACGGGAGGCAGCAGUGGGGAAUUUUGGACAAUGGGGGCAACCCUGAUCCAGCAAUGUCGCGUGUGUGAAGAAGGCCUUCGGGUUGUAAAGCACUUUUGUCCGGAAAGAAAUCGCUUCGGUUAAUACCUGGGGUCGAUGACGGUACCGGAAGAAUAAGGACCGGCUAACUACGUGCCAGCAGCCGCAGUAACAC
rnacentral:rRNA from 1 species